CAAGCUCCAAAACUCAAGUACUCAAUUAGCUGAGUCAGAUAUUUUAAUGAAUCGGUUUAUCCAGUUAACAACAAUGGUCUAAUGAUUCAGGCUAAUCCAGUUAAGUAAGUGGGAGUUCUCUCAGCCCACUGAGUGGCCUAUAGUCUUGUGUAGUCUACUGUGUGAGAUCAGGGCAAGACUCCUCACUGGUGCAUAUAUGACUGCGUUUAACGCUCCAACCUGCUUCCACAUGGCUGGUUCUGUGGAUAUAUUUGCUGAUGUUUGGGAAGAUUGUGAUUUAAAGCGUGCAACGAUGGUCUUGAUUACAUCAGGCUUUUAUUGAUGCAUGUCAUGCACCCUGUUUGAGCUUAAAUGUUCCCCCUUCAUUUACUCAUCCUCAUGUAAUUUCAAACAUGUAUGACCACCUUUCUCCUGUUGAAAUAAAACUACACUAAAUGGGGUUCAAAGACUGACAUGCAUU